GAUCAUGGCUCAGGACGAACGCUGGCGGCGUGCCUAACACAUGCAAGUCGAACGGAGAUGUUUAUUUCGGUAGAUAUCUUAGUGGCGCACGGGUGAGUAACGCGUGAAUAACCUGACCCGAAGAGGGGGAUAACACCUGGAAACAAGUGCUAAUACCGCAUAAGACCACGGACCGGCAUCGGUCAGAGGUCAAAGGAGGAAUCCGCUUUGGGAGGGGUUCGGCGUCCCAUUAGGUAGUUGGUGAGGUAACGGCCCACCCAA
rnacentral:rRNA from 1 species